rnacentral:misc_RNA from 1 species
CAGCCACAACACUUCAUUGGUCAGCGGCAAUUGCGUGUAGGCGAGAACGACGAUCAUCGCGCCAAGCGAAAAUGUCAGGAACAGGUUGCGCCGUCCGAUCCGGUCGGCGAGCCACGCCCCGACCAGAUAGCCGACGAANNNNNNNNNCGGUGGAACUGACGAUCGAGAGCUUGCGUUCGGUGGUGAGGAAGCGCGGCACCCAGAAGGUGAUGGCGUAGUAGCCGCCCUGACAGCCGGUUGCCGCGAGCGAGGCAAGGAUCGUGGUCUUCGCAAUGGAGCCCGAGAAAAUUUCCCAAAGUGCCGGACUGUCGCCGGAGACUUUUUGCUUCGCCAA